GAUGAGCGCUAGCGGCAGGCUUAACACAUGCAAGUCGAGGGGCAGCAUAAUGGAUAGCAAUAUCUAUGGUGGCGACCGGCGCACGGGUGCGUAACGCGUAUGCAACCUACCUUUAACAGGGGGAUAACACUGAGAAAUUGGUACUAAUACCCCAUAAUAUCAUAGAAGGCAUCUUUUAUGGUUGAAAAUUCCGAUGGUUAGAGAUGGGCAUGCGUUGUAUUAGCUAGUUGGUGGGGUAACGGCUCACCAAGGCGACGAUACAUAGGGGGACUGAGAGGUUAACCCCCCACACUGGUACUGAGACACGGACCAGACUCCUACGGGAGGCAGCAGUGAGGAAUAGUGGUCAAUGGACGCAAGUCUGAACCAGCCAUGCCGCGUGCAGGAUGACGGCUCUAUGAGUUGUAAACUGCUUUUGUACGAGGGUAAACGCAGAUACGUGUAUCUGUCUGAAAGUAUCGUACGAAUAAGGAGCGGCUAACUCCGUG
rnacentral:rRNA from 1 species